UACGUAGGGUGCGAGCGUUGUCCGGAAUUAUUGGGCGUAAAGAGCUCGUAGGCGGUUUGUUGCGUCUAUCGUGAAAACCUGCGGCUUAACUGUGGGCGUGCGGUCGAUACGGGCAUCACUGGAGUUCGGCAGGGGAGACUGGAAUUCCUGGUGUGGCGGUGAAAUGCGCAGAUAUCAGGAGGAACACCGGUGGCGAAGGCGGGUCUCUGGGCCGAUACUGACGCUGAGGAGCGAAAGCGUGGGGAGCAAACAGG
rnacentral:rRNA from 1 species